AUUGAACGCUGGCGGCAUGCUUUACACAUGCAAGUCGAACGGCAGCGCGGGCUUCGGCCUGGCGGCGAGUGGCGAACGGGUGAGUAAUGCAUCGGAACGUGCCCAGUAGUGGGGGAUAGCCCGGCGAAAGCCGGAUUAAUACCGCAUACGACCUGAGGGUGAAAGCGGGGGACCGAAAGGCCUCGCGCUAUUGGAGCGGCCGAUGUCGGAUUAGCUAGUUGGUGGGGUAAAGGCUUACCAAGGCGACGAUCCGUAGCUGGUCUGAGAGGACGACCAGCCACACUGGGACUGAGACACGGCCCAGACUCCUACGGGAGGCUGCAGUGGGGAAUUUUGGACAAUGGGGGCAACCCUGAUCCAGCCAUGCCGCGUGCGGGAAGAAGGCCUUCGGGUUGUAAACCGCUUUUGUUCGGGAAGAAAUCCUCUGGGCUAAUACCCCGGGGGGAUGACGGUACCGGAAGAAUAAGCACCGGCUAACUACGUG
rnacentral:rRNA from 1 species